rnacentral:rRNA from 1 species
UACAGAGGUCCCGAGCGUUGUUCGGAUUCAUUGGGCGUAAAGGGUGCGUAGGCGGUCUUCUAAGUUUGAUGUGAAAUCCCGGGGCUCAACCCUGGAAUUGCAUUGAAUACUGGAGGACUAGAGUACCGGAGAGGAAACUGGAAUUUACGGUGUAGCAGUGAAAUGCGUAGAUAUCGGGAGGAACACCUGUGGCGAAAGCGGCGCACUGGACCACAACUGACGCUGAGGCGCGAAAGCUAGGGGAGCAAACAGG